rnacentral:rRNA from 1 species
UGCAAGUCGAGCGGCAGCACGGGGAGCUUGCUCCCUGGUGGCGAGCGGCGGACGGGUGAGUAAUGCAUAGGAAUCUGCCCGGUAGUGGGGGAUAACCUGGGGAAACCCAGGCUAAUACCGCAUACGUCCUACGGGAGAAAGCAGGGGAUCUUCGGACCUUGCGCUAUCGGAUGAGCCUAUGUCGGAUUAGCUGGUUGGUGAGGUAAUGGCUCACCAAGGCGACGAUCCGUAGCUGGUCUGAGAGGAUGAUCAGCCACACUGGGACUGAGACACGGCCCAGACUCCUACGGGAGGCAGCAGUGGGGAAUAUUGGACAAUGGGCGCAAGCCUGAUCCAGCCAUGCCGCGUGUGUGAAGAAGGCCCUCGGGUUGUAAAGCACUUUCAGCGAGGAAGAAGGCUUGGCGGUCAAUACCCGUCAAGAAGGACAUCACUCGCAGAAGAAGCACCGGCUAACUCCGUGCCAGCAGCCGCGGUAAUACGGAGGGUGCGAGCGUUAAUCGGAAUUACUGGGCGUAAAGCGCGCGUAGGUGGUUUGGCACGCCGGUUGUGAAAGCCCCGGGCUCAACCUGGGAACGGCAUCCGGAACGGCCAGACUAGAGUGCAGGAGAGGAAGGUAGAAUUCCCGGUGUAGCGGUGAAAUGCGUAGAGAUCGGGAGGAAUACCAGUGGCGAAGGCGGCCUUCUGGCCUGACACUGACACUGAGGUGCGAAAGCGUGGGUAGCAAACAGGAUUAGAUACCCUGGUAGUCCACGCCGUAAACGAUGUCGACUAGCCGUUGGGACCUUUAAGGACUUAGUGGCGCAGUUAACGCGAUAAGUCGACCGCCUGGGGAGUACGGCCGCAAGGUUAAAACUCAAAUGAAUUGACGGGGGCCCGCACAAGCGGUGGAGCAUGUGGUUUAAUUCGAUGCAACGCGAAGAACCUUACCUACCCUUGACAUCCAGAGAACUUGGCAGAGAUGCCUUGGUGCCUUCGGGAACUCUGAGACAGGUGCUGCAUGGCUGUCGUCAGCUCGUGUUGUGAAAUGUUGGGUUAAGUCCCGUAACGAGCGCAACCCUUGUCCCUAUUUGCCAGCGAUUCGGUCGGGAACUCUAGGGAGACUGCCGGUGACAAACCGGAGGAAGGUGGGGAC